rnacentral:lncRNA from 1 species
GUUAGGAUCUGAACUGUAACUCUCAUCGAGAGGAUGGCACUAAGAAGAGUUGGGGCAAUUUUCUAGGUUUUCUUUCCACAAUACCAUAUCCAACCAAGGGUUGGGGAUACAUAUUUAUAGCUGGCCAAGUAGCCAACCAGCCAAGCAUCAAGGCAUAUGCUAGUCUAAGAUGCCUUUUUGAUGCUGUCCUAUUUAGUCUAAGAUGCCUAGGAUUGUCCUACCCUAAAAGUAGUCAACAAAGGUGGUGCUGCAGCAAGCAUAUGCUGCAGCCCCACCGUC